AGCGAACGCUGGCGGCAGGCCUAAUACAUGCAAGUCGAACGGCUCUUCGGAGCAGUGGCGGACGGGUGAGUAACGCGUGGGAAUGUGCCCUUUGGUACGGAACAACACAGGGAAACUUGUGCUAAUACCGUAUGUGCCCUUCGGGGGAAAGAUUUAUCGCCAUUGGAGCAGCCCGCGUUGGAUUAGCUAGUUGGUAAGGUAAGAGCUUACCAAGGCGACGAUCCAUAGCUGGUCUGAGAGGAUGAUCAGCCACACUGGGACUGAGACACGGCCCAGACUCCUACGGGAGGCAGCAGUAGGGAAUCUUGCGCAAUGGGCGAAAGCCUGACGCAGCCAUGCCGCGUGAAGGAUGAAGGUCUUAGGAUUGUAAAAUUCUUUCACCGGGGAAGAUAAUGACGGUACCCGGAGAAGAAGCCCCGGCUAACUUCGUGCCAGCAGCCGCAGUAACAC
rnacentral:rRNA from 1 species